rnacentral:rRNA from 1 species
CCUACGGGAGGCAGCAGUGAGGAAUAUUGGACAAUGGGCGCAAGCCUGAUCCAGCCAUGCCGAGUGCAGGAUGACGGUCCUAUGGAUUGUAAACUGCUUUUAUACAGGAAGAAACANUCCUUCGUGAAGGAGUGACGGUACCGUAAGAAUAAGGUCG